CAGUUAAAAAGCUCGUAGUUGGAUUUCGGAAUGGGCCAGUUGGUCCGCCUCACGGUGUGUUACUGGCUGGUCUGUUCUUCUUCGCAAAGACUGCGUGUGCUCUUUACUGAGUGUGCGUGGGAUUUACGACGUUUACUUUGAAAAAAUUAGAGUGUUCAAAGCAGGCUUUCGCUUAAAUACAUGAGCAUGGAAUAAUGGAAUAGGACUUUGGUCUUAUUUUGUUGGUUUCUGAGACCGAAGUAAUGAUUAAGAGGGACAGUUGGGGGCAUUCGUAUUUCGUUGUCAGAGGUGAAAUUCUUGGAUUCAUGAAAGACGAACAAUUGCGAAAGCAUUUGCCAAGAAUGUUUUCAUUAAUCAAGAACGAAAGUUAGAGGAUCGAAGACGAUCAGAUACCGUCCUAGUUCUAACCAUAAACGAUGUCGACUAGGGAUCAGCGGGCGUCUUAUGCGACCUCGUUGGCACCUUACGGGAAACCAAAGUGUUUGGAUUCCGGGGGAAGUAUGGUUGCAAAACUGAAACUUAAAGGAAUUGACGGAAGGGCACCACCAGGAGUGGAGACCUGCGGGCUUAAUUUGACUCAACACGGGAAAAAACUCACC
rnacentral:rRNA from 1 species